GGAAAUUGUAUAUUUGGAAUUCUCUUGGCUGAUAGAAGAAAACCUUCAAUCAACUGAUAAUCUUCACCAUAGCUUGUAAUUACAAGGAGAACUUCUGAAUUGUACUCCAAAUCUGUGAAUGACCCUCAGGCCACACAGGUGUAGCCUGUAGGCUCAACUAGCCCUGCCCUACAGACUAGCAGAGACGCAGGGACCAAACUCUGUGACAGUCAUCCUGUUUAUCUGCAAAGCUUGAAAACCACAGAAUUACCCAGAGUCUGUUAACAAGUCCAUUUAUAUCAUUGGCUAAACCUCCUGUGACCCUGUGUGGCAGUGGGGGGU
rnacentral:lncRNA from 1 species